GAUGAACGCUAGCGGCAGGCUUAAUACAUGCAAGUCGAGGGGCAGCAGCUUUAUAGCAAUAUAGAGGCUGGAGACCGGCAAACGGGUGCGGAACACGUACACAACCUUCCUUUAAGAGGGCGCUAGCCCAUAGAAAUGUGGAUUAAUACCCCGUAACAUAACGGUGUGGCAUCACACUGUUAUUAUAGUUUCGACGCUUGAAGAGGGGUGUGAGGAUGAUUAGGUAGUGGGCGGGGUAAAGGCCCACCAAGCCUUCGAUCAUUAGCUGAUGUGAGAGCAUGAUCAGCCACACGGGCACUGAGACACGGGCCCGACUCCUACGGGAGGCAGCAGUAAGGAAUAUUGGUCAAUGGACGCAAGUCUGAACCAGCCAUGCCGCGUGAAGGAUGAAGGUCCUCUGGAUUGCAAACUUCUUUUAUAGGGGGGCGAAAAAAGGGAAUUCUUUCUCACUUGACAGUACCCUAUGAAUAAGCACCGGCUAACUCCGUGCCAGCAGCCGCCGUAA
rnacentral:rRNA from 1 species